UACGUAGGGUGCAAGCGUUGUCCGGAAUUAUUGGGCGUAAAGAGCUCGUAGGCGGUUUGUCGCGUCUGCUGUGAAAUCCCGAGGCUCAACCUCGGGCCUGCAGUGGGUAGGGGCAGACUAGAGUGCGGUAGGGGAGAUUGGAAUUCCUGGUGUAGCGGUGGAAUGCGCAGAUAUCAGGAGGAACACCGAUGGCGAAGGCAGAUCUCUGGGCCGUAACUGACGCUGAGGUGCGAAAGCGUGGGGAGCAAACAGG
rnacentral:rRNA from 1 species